UUUCAAACUCCGCGCCUUCCCCAAUGUUUUCUUCACUUUCUUCACUUUCUAUCGCUCCGUCUUCCGAACGUCGUCCAUCAAACGUCGCUCCGUUACCGAGCGUUGUUCUUCUUCAGCUUGGUCAAGGUCACUCCGUCGCUGUUGUUCUGAGCGUUCUUCUUUAGUCGAACGUUCAUCCGUUCCAAACUUCUUCAAUCGAACAUGUAGGUCAAGCGUUGUUUUAUCUGCCGUUCUCGACAUGCUUCUGGAGGUUUAGAUCUUUUCAAGCUUCUUUGCAUUUUUUCAGCUUCGAUUGGUUCUUCUUCCUGUGUCCUGAUUUUGUUAAAGGCGAGUGGUGGAGAUUUAAUAGUUAGGUUAAAUCUUGUGGAAACUUGGAAUGAUUGGACAACUUGAAAUUUUCAUUAUAAUGCUUGCAUAGUCUUGAAUGUACAAAAGCUUUUCGUCUCAAUUUUCCCUUCUUCUUCUUCUUCACCGCUUCUCCAAGGCAUGUGGUGCUUAUUCUUGAAGUGGCGAAACUUCUCCCAAAAAAUUGCCUUCUUUCUGAACAUUAUUGCAGAAUACUCUGUGGAAAACUCAAUCGUCAAACCAACUUACAUGCUGACAUAUGAAAGUGCAUCAGAGCUGUUUAGUUUGAACUUGGAAGAAGAGGAGGCUGAACUUAAAAUUCUAUCUGAGGCUGCAACUUUGUGAUUAGCAUGGCGAAGACAACAGAUUGAAACACGAAAACCAUACUCACAGGCCGAGUUAGAUGAGGUGCAGAUUGAGUUGGCUGAGUUUUUGGGUUCGUAUAUAUGACCUACGACUUAUUUGUGAUUCUGAAGUAGGAAACGUUUUUUUUUUUGUGGCUGAUUUUUUGAAUUGUUCAUAUGGAGGGGGGUUGAUUGAUAUACUUUUGAGAUUUUGUUGUAGUUUAGGGUUUAGGUGAAUUUUGAUAGGUGAAUUGUUCGUAUAUAGGAGGGUUGCCAUUAUGAAACUUUAUGUAUGGAGAUGAUAUACUUUUGGACUAAGUUAGUUAAUUAGAUGAUUUUUAGUUGAAUUCUUGGAAAUCUGAUGAAAUUGUUUAUAUUGGCUUUGUAAAUGAUAUGAAUAUGAUGCAAAGUUUUGGAAA